rnacentral:rRNA from 1 species
GGAGUUAGCCGGUGCUUCUUCUGUGAGUGAUGUCCUUCCUGCCGGCUAUUAACCCGCAGGCCUUCUUCCUCACUGAAAGUGCUUUACAACCCGAAGGCCUUCUUCACACACGCGGCAUGGCUGGAUCAGGGUUGCCCCCAUUGUCCAAUAUUCCCCACUGCUGCCUCCCGUAGGAGUCUGGGCCGUGUCUCAGUCCCAGUGUGGCUGAUCAUCCUCUCAGACCAGCUACGGAUCGUCGCCUUGGUGAGCCGUUACCUCACCAACCAGCUAAUCCGACAUAGGCUCAUCCGAUAGCGCGAGGCCCGAAGGUCCCCCGCUUUCCCCCGUAGGGCGUAUGCGGUAUUAGCCUGGGUUUCCCCCAGGUUAUCCCCCACUACCGGGCAGAUUCCUAUGCAUUACUCACCCGUCCGCCGCUCGCCACCAGGGAGCAAGCUCCCCGUGCUGCCGCUCGACUUGCAUGUGUUAGGCUCGCCGCCACGCGUCAUCUGAGCCAUGAUACAACUACUGA